GGCCUCAAAAAUUGACACAUUUAAAAGAUAUAAAGGUGAUGCAUAAAGUGUCUCGUCACUGUAAUACACACUGGUGCACAUACACAUGUCCCGCCAGAACAAGUCUUAGGUCAGACUGCACAAGAAAUAAAGGAUUUUAAAUCCAUGGUUUCCAUUGGAAGUUAAAAAUGAGGCGGCACACCCAUUCACAAUAAAUUCCUCCAUUGGCUCAUUUAUAUAAAAACAAAUGCAUCGUCAAUAUGACACCAUGUUGUAGAUAAAAAAUAGUCAAACACCAAAAUUAAAAUGUGAGAUUAACAAAAAGUUGAUUGUCAUGUACCAUGCAGUGGAUUAUAUCGAACCUUACAAAUAUGCCUACACACUCUACCAAAGACAUCAUGUACAACAAUCUCUUUUUGAGCUUUCUGACCUCCUUGAUAAAAGAGUUCAUAUCCAAGGGAAAUUUUGCGUCGCACACUUUUUUGGCGGGAAUUAUUUUGGCGCGAAAAAUGAAAAAGUGAAUAAUUCAUUUGUUGGAUUUAUUGUGAAAUCACAUAUAUGUUUGGAAAAUAAUUAAAAAGUGUGUUUGUUUUAUGAAUUUGAAUAGAUUCAACAGAUUGGAAUUUUUCAUUUUUCAAUGGAUUACAAGUAAUUCCUGAAUGGAAAUUUCUUGGAAUACCAGUAUGUUUUCUGAUCA
rnacentral:lncRNA from 1 species